GACGAACGCUGGCGGCGUGCUUAACACAUGCAAGUCGAACGGUAAGGCCCUGCUUUUGUGGGGUGCUCGAGUGGCGAACGGGUGAGUAUCACGUGAGUAACCUGCCCUUGACUUUGGGAUAACUUCAGGAAACUGGGGCUAAUACCGGAUAUGAGCUCCUGCUGCAUGGUGUGGGUUGGAAAGUUUCGUCGGUUGGGGAUGGACUCGCGGCUUAUCAGCUUGUUGGUGGGGUAGUGGCUUACCAAGGCUUUGACGGGUAGCCGGCCUGAGAGGGUGACCGGCCACAUUGGGACUGAGAUACGGCCCAGACUCCUACGGGAGGCAGCAGUGGGGAAUAUUGCACAAUGGGCGGAAGCCUGAUGCAGCAACGCCGCGUGCGGGAUGACGGCCUUCGGGGUGGAAACCGCUUUCGCCUGUGACGAAGCGUGAGUGACGGUAAUGGGUAAAGAAGCACCGGCUAACUACGUG
rnacentral:rRNA from 1 species